CAUUUACUGAACUUGUACUGUGUUUCUCCCCAGUGUGAAUCCAUUGGUGCCCCUUGAGACGAAACCUGUGGCUCAAGGCUUCCCUAAACUCAAGACAAUCGAAGGACGUCUCUCAAGUGGACGAUGCAGCACUGAGUGAGGUCUGCACUCUCACAAAAUGCUGCCAGCAUUCCCUACAUUAGAAAGAGCCUCACUAUUUAGCCCUGGCUGUCCUGGAACUCACUGUGUAGACCAGGUUGGCUUCAAGCUCACAGAGACCUGCCUACUUUUGCCUCUCCAGUGCUGGGAUUAAAGCCCUUUGAAGAUUUUGCUUCUGGCAUGAGCAGUCAAGCACCUGCUGGUGAUGCUAAUAAUGGAAACCCGUAGCCACUGCUCAGCAGAGUGGGAAAGCUGUGGAAUGCUUUAAAAAUAUUUAUUGGCCGUUUGUGCUUCUUUUAUUGAGAACUGUCUGUUCAGUUCAUUUGUUUGUUUAUUGACUGGUUGUAUUCUGAACCAGGAGAUAAUAACUACAAGGUCAGGAGAAGAUGUGAUGGCUUAUCUUGGUUACCAACGUUUCUUCAUGUGGAAUCAACUGAAACUCGAGCUGCUGGACAUCCGUUUCCACAGGAUGCAGGCGGCCAUGAUGACCAGGAAGAUGGCCAGGAGUGCCACAAAGCCAGGGAGGAUGCUGCUGCUCUGGCCUUUCUCUCUAGGAGGAAAACCGGGUGGUCAUGCCCCAGCUGGCCAUAGGAUCUGGGCUUGGGAAAUGCUGGAGAAGACAUUUCUUUCAGGAGAUAGAGCCCCAGUGAUACCAGGUAGGCAAAGAGUUAAAUAUGAGGACAUGGAGGCAAACCACAAUUGGAUCUCGGCUAAUUCCCCCGAUGGCCUCUUUGUGGUUAAACAUCCUUGAAGUUGAAGUCAAGUUGUUCCUGCUCUAUCAGAAACCAAGACACCCAGGUGUUUUUCUAUAUACGUGCACUCAAAAGACCAAUGUUAUUGUAUCACUUUGCGUUAUGGUUUUGACAUCUCCACCCUUGGGAGGGAUCAUGAGAAAAAAUACUCUAAAAGGGAGAUGUGGCCCACCCUGAUUUGGGAAGAGAAGAGGGACACCUUACUCUGUGACAAAGCCAUCUACCUCAUACGUGUUUGUAAAAGCUCCUUCUAAAUAGACAACGCAGUACUCAUUGAGCUGUUCCUUGCCUUGAGGCACUCACCCCACUCUCUCUUUGGAGUGUUUACUUUGCUUGCCUUUGCGAAAUAAACUUUGGUUUAAAUUG